rnacentral:rRNA from 1 species
UAGGGAAUCUUCCACAAUGGACGCAAGUCUGAUGGAGCAACGCCGCGUGAGUGAAGAAGGUUUUCGGAUUGUAAAGCUCUGUUGUUGGUGAAGAAGGACAGAGGUAGUAACUGGCCUUUAUUUGACGGUAAUCAACCAGAAAGUCACGGCUAACUACGUGCCAGCAGCCGCGGUAAUACGUAGGUGGCAAGCGUUGUCCGGAUUUAUUGGGCGUAAAGCGAGCGCAGGCGGAAGAAUAAGUCUGAUGUGAAAGCCCUCGGCUUAACCGAGGAAAUGCAUCGGAAACUGUUUUUCUUGAGUGCAGGAGAGGAGAGUGGAAUUCCAUGUGUAGCGGUGGAAUGCGUAGAUAUAUGGAAGAACACCAGUGGCGAAGGCGACUCUCUGGUCUGCAACUGACGCUGAGGCUCGAAAGCAUGGGUAGCGAACAGG